rnacentral:rRNA from 1 species
GUGAGGAAUAUUGCACAAUGGGCGAAAGCCUGAUGCAGCAACGCCGCGUGAGGGACGAAGGCCUUCGGGUUGUAAACCUCUUUUCUGAGGGACGAGCAAGGACGGUACCUCAGGAAUAAGUCUCGGCUAACUACGUGCCAGCAGCCGCGGUAAAACGUAGGAGGCGAGCGUUAUCCGGAUUUACUGGGCGUAAAGCGCACGCAGGUGGCUGCGUAAGUCGGACAUGAAAGCUCCUGGCUUAACUGGGAGAGGUGGUUCGAAACUGCGUAGCUUGAGGUUGGGAGAGGGACGUGGAAUUCCCGGUGUAGUGGUGGAAUGCGUAGAUAUCGGGAGGAACACCAGUGGCGCAAGCGGCGUCCUGGCCCACACCUGACGCUGAGGUGCGAAAGCGUGGGGAGCAAACAGGAUUAGAAACCCCGGUAGUCC